AUAGCAAAUGGUGAACAUGAAAAAAAUAAAGUACAAUAAUACACCCUAGGAACAAUACUUUUCCAUACUCUUGGAGUUUUCUUAAAUGACAGCCAUUUAUUAAAAAAUACAACUUCACAUAUAAAACCCUUGAAUGCAACCAAUUUAGCCUUCAGACAUCACCAUCCCCCUAUAGAGAACUUUACUAAUCAAAGGUGACAGCACACAAGAAACCCUUCUAACAUUCUACUGAACAAAACUAUCAAGCAAUUAUAAAAUUGACAAAGAUGACUACAGGGAUAUGAAGAAAUUUCUUCUAAAACUAUGUAUAUUACAUAGAAAAAUACAUCCAAAGAACAACAAAUCAUGUGAACAGUAACACAGUAUUUAAGAAUAUUGCCUGUGGUGCUGUCAGUGUCUUUAUAAAUAUAUCUCUUAAGAUUAAGCAUCACAGCAGUUAUUCAUCUAUAUUUUCUAUUCUAAAUCCAUCUUUCAAUGUUUAGGAUUUUGGACUAGCUUAUUAUUGUUUUGCCCCACAGAGAAGUACCAAGUGACUAUGAAGCAAUGCACCUUUUUGUACUGGUGAACUUGAUCACACAGGUCACUGCCCAGGGGAAAUUCAGUUCUAGGGAAAAAACAAUAAGCAAAAGACCAUACAUUACACAGCUGGCUUAGUUUCAAUGGAACUAUUUGUGAGAGUAAAGUGAGUGGGAUUUGAUCCUUUAACUAUUAUUGUUUCAUUUGGAAUUCAGAGUAUGUGAAAUUGUGGCCAGGUGUUUUAAAAUCUGAAUUUUUACACACAACACUCCACCAUCUCACUACCAUUUUAUGUUGUAGCAAUUGGGCAUCCCCUGAUUAAUAGACUUUUCUGAUUGGCAUUCCUAGCUGUCCCACUUUUUUCUAUAUCCCUUGACACCUAACAUUGACAUAUGUCAGGAAAUGCAGAGAUAUGCUACUAAUACUGGAGUAUUUUAGCACUUACCUGUGGAAAAAUAAAAUUUGUCAGAAAGAAUGCAGGGCACCAUUAAUAUACGUUGCUGAAGAAGGCUGAUUUUUUUUCCAUGUCACAGAUUCAGCGUAACUGGUUUCCUUGAAUGACACGUGAGAACCAAUAAACUACUUUUACAGUAUACUGCACCACUUUUUUAAUACCAGGGACCUGAAAACAUAAACUUGUAUUUGGCUUCACUAAUGAUGUACCCUACUAAAAGUAUGAACAGUUCUGCUGACAGGCCAUCUGUUUGCUGUCAGCUACGAAUCGAUAGCGUGGCUCUCCACUGCAUCAGCUGCAUAGGAACUUCUUGAAGAAUUCGGUGAGCAAUCCCUAGAAAGUAAACUGCUUAAUUGUAUUUGUCUUAGCUGCCACUGUAAGAAAUUAACAUCUCAGUUUUUCUCUAGGUGUUAAGAGAAAACAAAACAAAACAACAAAAAAACCCAAACAAAAUAAGAACAAAAAAAGAGCAUUGAUACAUUAUUCAUGCCUGGGAAAAAGAGAGGCAGUGAUGGAGAAAGUAAACAAACAGACCGUCAAGGAAAGAAGACAAGGCCUCUCCUUCCAGGAGGAUGUUCCAGCUAUGGGACCCUGCCGGUGAUGAUUUCCUGAGACUCCGAUUAACUUCUCCCUCCAGAGAAGAGUAGCAGCAUUUCCUUGUUAUCUAUACACAAAGAAGAGCCACCUCUCUGUCGCUAGAACCAUGUCCAGAAUUGUUCCUUCAACUUCUCCCAUCUCACUCGACUUAGCCUGCGAAAUGUUAACGCUGUCACGCUGUGGGAUUUGUCAGCCCA